CUCAUCGCAUGGUGGGGGGUGGAAAGCUUUUGUGGUUUUGGAUGGACUCGCGGCCUAUCAGCUUGUUGGUGAGGUAAUGGCUCACCAAGGCGACGACGGGUAGCCGGCCUGAGAGGGUGACCGGCCACACUGGGACUGAGACACGGCCCAGACUCCUACGGGAGGCAGCAGUGGGGAAUAUUGCACAAUGGGCGCAAGCCUGAUGCAGCGACGCCGCGUGAGGGAUGACGGCCUUCGGGUUGUAAACCUCUUUCAGUAGGGAAGAAGCGAAAGUGACGGUACCUGCAGAAGAAGCGCCGGCUAACUACGUGCCAGCAGCCGCGGUAAUACGUAGGGCGCAAGCGUUAUCCGGAAUUAUUGGGCGUAAAGAGCUCGUAGGCGGUUUGUCGCGUCUGCCGUGAAAGUCCGGGGCUCAACUCCGGAUCUGCGGUGGGUACGGGCAGACUAGAGUGAUGUAGGGGAGACUGGAAUUCCUGGUGUAGCGGUGAAAUGCGCAGAUAUCAGGAGGAACACCGAUGGCGAAGGCAGGUCUCUGGGCAUUAACUGACGCUGAGGAGCGA
rnacentral:rRNA from 1 species